rnacentral:lncRNA from 1 species
GAGGGAACUGAGAACGAGCACCCGUUGACAGAAAUUCAUGAUAAUCAGGGUUACGAAGGACUGAAUGGGAUAUUGGUGUCAGGAAUUUCCCCGAAGCAAAGAUGAUUGCCUUUGCCUCUGCCUCUGAUUUCUAUGGUUAUUGGGCAGCUGUCUCUUAGAACUUUGUGUUCACUUUGGUAAUAGAUGGAUAUUUGCAUGCAUGUGUCCGCCACAUGAUUUUGGUUUAUUAAUGCUUGUUGUGAACCUUCGUAGUCCACUAAUAGUUCCAAUGGGCUGUGUGCUUGUACCUUGAUUUAGCUCUUAGAUGCAGAGACUGAAGUAGAUUUAUCUACUUUGAGAUUCUACCAUAAAAAAAAUGUUUUCAAAUGCAUAGGGAAUAUUGCCUAAAGGGUGUAUUGAGAAUGUGCUUUUUUUCUUUUUUUCAUAAAACCUCAUAAAUAUAAUGAUAUAUAAGACAUCAUAUAUUAUCAUGCCUUCAGCUGGCAUUCCAAAUUAUAUAUUACAAUUGUCAUUCCUUCCACACAGACAAUACUUUGUACACAAAGACAUAACUUAUUAUAGUAUUUUUUAAUUGAUCAAACCUUUACAGAUACUCUAGAUAACAUGUUUAUAGUAGAUUGUCUUUGAUAAACCAUCAUUCUGAAAAAAAACAAUGAUGUAAAAAAGGUAUAUCGUAUUGUAUUGACAGAAUUCCCCAAGAACAAGAUAAUGCAUUUAAAUAUCUUUAAAGUGCAUUUGCAAUCUGAAAUCGCUUUAGCACUCAACCAUCCUCGCUGUAAUAAACUUGCACACUGCUUCACUAGUUGCCCUAGAAAGAGCCAUUUUAUAACUGGUACUUGAUAAAA